CAAAUAGGAAAUUUGAGGUUCAUCUUUGUAAUUUUAAUAAAAAAAUAAAUUGAAAAAUCUGCUAAUUUAUUUGUUUAAACAUGUACAUUAAGAUGUCAAUCAAAUAUUCACCAUUAAAUAAUUUCGACAUAAAAACUAUCACUUCUGAAAAUGUGAAUAAGGAACAUGCGGUGAAGCUUUCGGCAAAUUUACGGAAAUCAAUAAGUGCACGCGGCUGUUUUUCCGGAAUGAGGUGAAGCAAAGAAAAGUGAUAAAUUCAGUUUGUCACCCCUGUCACAUUAAUUCUUUUGUUUCGCUGAAAAUUAAGCUCUGCCAGGCACUAUUUUCAUCAAAAUAUAUAAAUAC
rnacentral:lncRNA from 1 species